UAAAGUGAUCGGCGGAGUUAGGGCAUACUCUAAGCGUAGUAAUAUUCUUCUCGCUUCUGUAGUUGUCCUGGCGGCUUGCCGUUAAACCCCUAUAUUUCUAGUGGUUGACCUCGGAUUAGGUAGGAAUACCCGCUGAACUUAAGCAUAUCAAUAAGCGGAGGAAAAGAAACCAACAGGGAUUGCCCUAGUAACGGCGAGUGAAGCGGCAACAGCUCAAAUUUGAAAUCUGGCCCUAGCGGUCCGAGUUGUAAUUUGUAGAGGAUGCUUUUGGUUAGGUGCCUUCUGAGUUCCCUGGAACGGGACGCCAGAGAGGGUGAGAGCCCCGUACGGUUGGACACCGAGCCUCUAUAUAGCUCCUUCGACGAGUCGAGUAGUUUGGGAAUGCUGCUCUAAAUGGGAGGUAAAUUUCUUCUAAAGCUAAAUACCGGCCAGAGACCGAUAGCGCACAAGUAGAGUGAUCGAAAGAUGAAAAGUACUUUGAAAAGAGGGUUAAAUAGCACGUGAAAUUGUUGAAAGGGAAGCGUUUGCGACCAGACUUUUUCCAGGCGGAUCAUCCGGUGUUCUCACCGGUGCACUUCGCCUGGUUUAGGCCAGCAUCGGUUCUCUUAGGGGGAUAAAGGCCUGGGGAACGUAGCUCCUUCGGGAGUGUUAUAGCCCCUAGCGUAAUACCCUUCGGGGGACCGAGGAACGC
rnacentral:rRNA from 1 species